AUGGAGCCGCGGAUCGGAGUGCGGCGGGAGCGCGCCCGCCAGCGCGGGGGAGCGCGCCGCGCCACCGCCCCCGCCCGGCCCCGCCCGGCCCCGCGGCCCUCCGCGGCCGCGCUGCCCUCCCUCCCCUGCCGCCGCUCGGAGAACAAGCCUGAAACAUGUGCAUUGUCACACAGCACUGCACAUUACCCAGUACAGAGGCAGAAACACCAAGAAGGUCGAAAAGCAGAUCACAGGAGGAGCUGUAGAAGCAGGAUGUGCAGCCACAGUGAAGGUGUUUCCUGUAUGCAGUUUGGGAAUUACAUUGCAACACUUACUCUCUGUGCUUCUGCAUCACUGUGGAAAAUGCUUUGUCAAUACACCCUACAGAAAAUCUCCCUUCGUGCUUAGAACAAUUAAAUUGUCACCAAGUCAUCAAAAAAUGGCCAUGUGAGUUCAGAGAAGGGAGCUUACCACUAAACUUACCACUUCUGACCAUGAUGCUUUAUAACCUGGAUCUGCAGUCAAAAUGAAGAAAGAAAACUGACGCCUCAGAGGAAAUCAGUCACAUCAGAUGAUACACAGAUGUGUUUAGAUUGGUAUCUUGAUUUUUCCAGCUUUUCCACCAGACCCUGAUUCCUCAUUUGUUAUCCUUAGGCUGGAGAGUCUCAGAGAAGGUGUGAGGAGCCGCAGCUUCCUCCUUCACUGUAAUCAAAACCUGCCAGGGAAGCUCGCUAAAGUGAGUGAAAAGAUAAAGUUCUUGCAGGAACACAUCCACCCCAAGCUAUCCUUCCUCUCCAGUGGUGUCUGACUGGAGACUGUGCCUAAGCCAAGGAUGAGCUCCCCUUCAGUUCCAGGCACUAUUCCUGCUGUCAGACACCUUUUGGAGAAGAUGCAGAAUGUCAUUAUUUCCCAGCAAACUGUUCCCUCAAGGCUUUCUGUUGGGCAACUUUCCUGAGCCAAAAACACGUCCUGCAAUUCAGACCAGGAGCAAUAGCAACUACCAAACAAACACACAGAACACACACAGGCAGUGAGAUAAAUGACUGGUCAGGCCUCUGCUGGGCAAAUACUUUCAGAUAGGUAGAGCUGUGCUAUGUUACCUUCAAAAAGUUCAUUAAAAGCUCCCCUGGAGCUGUGUUUUUUACCCACAGAAGUCAGUUUUCAGGUCACUCACCAUGUAACCUGCUAGGUGCCAGCUGUGUUAUUUGGCAUUGCUGUUGUGCCAGGCAAGAGACAGAAACACAGAACAAAAUGAUGGUCCCUGCCCCAGAGCACUUCCAGUCUUAAUCUAAGACGUGAAAAAGGGAAGCAAAAAAUAUAAAAAGGAAAAGAAAACAGCAGGUGGAGACAGGAAAGGGGAAAGAAAGGAUGAGACAGGACUGAUUAGUGUGAUACUGAGCAGCCUCAACACAACAGCUGCUAUCUGGCAUCAAAUUGUGCACAUAAGUGAUGGCUGGAUGGGGCCUGCAGGGAGCUUGCCAGCACAUUUUACCACACGAGCCAUACGUUCUGUGUCACAACUGCCAAAAGCGCUCUGGGGCUGCAAGGAUGGCUUGUGGCUGUGGCUUGGCAAUGAGUCUAAGGAGGCAAGAGAGUGUGUCUUUCAACUGUGCUGAUAUGCCAAGAAUAAAGGAAAAAAAAUACAGGGAGGCUCUCAAGCUCGGUCCUUGUGGCGCUUUCAUGAAAAGAAAUGUUUGUUUAUGACAAGAGAGCAAAUUUGUGAAUCACAAAACCUAAGUGGCAGCUUCCAGUGAUGUGUAAGAUCAGUUUGAAAGUCUUCUUCCCUGCACUAUGUGCUCAGGCUGCAAUUGCAGGCACAGUCACCUCGUGCUGACUGGCAGCCCACACAGUGCUUGGCAAGCCUGAGUUUUGAAGGGAGGCUGAGAUCUGGGACCUCCUGGUUCCUGCAAGGAGCUGCCAGAUGUUCACAGGAGGUUGUCUCACAGUGAGGGUCAGAGCUGGACUGCCCCAGUUUUUUAGGUUUUUAUUUCCUUUUCUUUUCUUGAAUGUAUCUGGCACAAUACACACCUCAGUCUGGAAACCUUGCCCCAUAUUAGGUUACACUUCUAGUUAAAAACUCAUUCGUGUCAGUUUGAAAACCACACACUUCAAAAUAUAAUGUGCUUGAACAUUCUUUCUCUCCCCCUGUGCCCCAUGGCCUCUAAUUUAGUAGUUCUUUAAGAGCAUCAUGUGCUUGAACUUCGAGCUGCUCCCAGGC
rnacentral:lncRNA from 14 species